GCAGUGGUGGUUCAGUGGUAGAAUUCUCGCCUUGAAUGCCAAAGACCCAGAUUUGAUUCCUGGCCAAUUCU
rnacentral:tRNA from 1 species